AUCAUAGCGCUAAUUAUACUUUUUUUAUUGAAAUUAAAUUUAGAUAUAUCUAAAUUAUCGAAAAUUUGUAAAAGUUUUAUGGCAGGGAAAAAGAAAUUAGCAUAUUUUGAUAAAAUUUUUCUGACACGGAAACCUAACCUUAAAAGUUUAGCAUCAAAAUGUUUAACAAAAAAAUAAAGGGUUAAAAAAUGUCAUCUUAGAAAAAAGGCCAAAAAUAUUAAAACUUUCGGCGUCAAUUCUUCUUAACUCAGAAUUCAGACUUGGAGAAGAAUUUGAUGACAUAAAUGAGAUGACAAAUGACAACUUCUACUAAAUCUUCGAAUAAGUGUUCAAUAAGGAUGGGUGUUUGUUGCGGAGCUGCUCCUGGAGGAGAUCUUGCAUUGCUGAGUCGCAGUUCAAUGUAGUUGAUCGAGGACAAGGAAGAUUUGUGCUUGUAAAAAGUGUUUUUUCUAUUAUCGUUUCUCUGACACUACGCAGAAAUCUCUCGAUACAGGU